GUGAAAGAACUAUAAUUGAAGCAUUGAACAUGGCCACAUUGAAUUUACUGAAUAUUUAUGUUCCAAUUGCAGCGAGCAGAUCCGAUAAAAAAAGAAGCAUCUCAGAUUGACAUCCAAGAAGUUCAGACAUUUCAGGUUCAUAUAUAUUUUUAUAUAUUUGGUUUGAUACUCCAUUGUAUCCCAUAUAUAGCUGAAUUCCAGAGAAGGCUGGGUAAACCUUUCUGGCAUCUCAGCCGUCUU